rnacentral:tRNA from 1 species
GAGGAUGGAGCUCAGUGGUAGAGCACUCAUCUAGUAUGUGCGAGGUCAUGGGUUCCACCCCCAGUACCCUCA